rnacentral:rRNA from 1 species
AUGGCGGCGGCGAUGGUGUGGGUGCCGAUACUGGAGGAGGGGGUGUUCCGGUUCGACGCGUCGGAGGCCGCGCGCGCGGCGGCCGGGCCCAGCCUGUCGUUCGCCGAGCCGCGCCGCCGGGAGGUGGUACUGCGUGAGGGGGUGGACGACGCCGGCCGCCCCGCGGUCGUGCCGGAGUGCGAGGUGGUGGGUGACGACGUCCACAGGAUUCUCAUCAAGCUUCCUUAUGGGACAUCUUUCUACGGCACAGGAGAAGCAAGUGGCCCACUUGAACGAACCGGGAAACGAGUUUUCACCUGGAACACAGAUGCAUGGGGAUACGGGUCAGGAACCACUUCACUAUAUCAAUCACACCCUUGGGUGUUGUCCAUCCUCCCAGAUGGAAAGAGCCUCGGUGUCCUAGCUGAUACCACACGCCGUUGUGAGAUUGACUUGAGACAAGAAUCUACUAUAAAGUUUGCUGCCCUAUCUGCUUAUCCUAUCAUUACUUUUGGGCCAUUUGAUACACCGGCCCAAGUGGUGGCAUCCUUGUCUCAUGCGAUUGGAACUGUGUCCAUGCCUUCAAAAUGGGCUCUCGGCUAUCAUCAAUGUCGCUUUAGCUACAAGUCUUCUGAGAGAGUCCUUGAGGUUAUUAGAACAUUUAGAGAGAAAGGCAUUCCUUGUGAUGUGGUUUGGAUGGAUAUUGACUACAUGGAUGGUUUUAGAUGCUUCACAUUUGACAAUAACCAUUUCCCUGAUCCAAAAUCUAUGGUUGAUGAUCUACAUUCCAUCGGUUGUAAAUCAAUCUGGAUGCUUGACCCGGGAAUAAAGGAAGAGAAGGGUUACUUUGUGUAUGAAAGUGGUUCAGAAAAUGAUGUGUGGAUUAAAAAGGCAGAUGGUAGCCCAUUCAUUGGGGAAGUAUGGCCUGGUGACUGUGUUUUCCCGGAUUUCACCAGUGAAAGAAUCCGCACAUGGUGGGCUAGAUUAGUAAGGGAUUUCAUCUCCAACGGCGUUGAUGGAAUAUGGAAUGAUAUGAACGAGCCUGCUAUGACAACUACUACUAAAACAAUGCCUGAGAGCAAUAUACAUAGAGGAGAUGCUGAUAUUGGUGGUGUCCAGAAUCAUUCUUACUAUCAUAAUGUUUAUGGAAUGCUGAUGGCAAGAUCUACUUAUGAAGGAAUGGUGAUGUCCAAUACAGAAAAGCGACCAUUCGUUCUUACACGAGCUGGUUUUAUAGGAAGCCAAAGAUAUGCUGCAACAUGGACUGGUGAUAAUCUCUCGAAUUGGGAGCAUUUGCACAUGAGUCUAUCAAUGGUUCUUCAGUUGGGUUUGAGUGGUCAGCCACUGUCGGGUCCUGAUAUUGGUGGGUUUGCUGGAAAUGCUACUCCAAGACUUUUUGGAAGAUGGAUGGGAGUGGGUGCGUUGUUUCCUUUCUCACGUGGCCAUUCUGAAGCUGGAACCGUCGAUCAUGAGCCAUGGUCCUUUGGUGAAGAGUGUGAGGAAGUUUGUCGUCUCGCGCUACUAAGACGGUAUCGGCUACUGCUACACAUCUACACUCUGUUUUAUGUUUCACAUAAGAAGGGUACUCCAGUUGCUGCGCCACUUUUCUUUGCUGACCCACAAGACACAGAACUGAGGAAAAUCGAGACUUCGUUUCUCCUGGGGCCACUUUUAGUUUGUGCAAGCACUUUACCUGAUAAAGGAGCUCAUGAAUGUGCACAUAAGUUACCAAAUGGCAUUUGGUUACCUUUUGAUUUUGGAGAUUCCCACCCCGAUCUCCCAGUGUUGUAUUUAAGAGGUGGAGCAAUUCUUCCUGUAGGCCUUCCUAUUCAGCAUGUUGGUGAAGCAAGUUUAGGGGACGAUUUAUCACUACUUGUUGCAUUGGAUGAAAAUGGUAAAGCUGAAGGUGUCUUGUUUGAGGAUGCCGGCGAUGGAUACGGGUUCACACAGGGAGACUAUCUGCUGACAUAUUAUGUCGCCGAAGUCCACUCAUCAGUGGUUUCUGUGAAAGUUCUGAAAACUGAAGGAUCCUGGAAGAGACCAAAACGUAACUUAAACAUAAGUAUUUUGCUUGGUGGAGGUGCUAUGAUGAGUUCACGCGGUGUGGAUGGCGAAGAGGUACAUUUUAUGAUGCCUUCUGAGUUUGAAGUGUCCAGCUUGGUUGCAGCAAGUGAACUUGAUCUCAAGGAACGUUUAGAGACAAUUCGUCCUAUACCUGAUAUGGAUAAGCCAUCGGGACAGGAAGGUGCUGAUCUGUCAAAAACACUUAUUAUUUUGAAGAGUGGGGACUGGUUUCUUAAGAUUGUACCAUGGAUUGGCGGCCGUAUUAUUUCGAUGACUCAUCUUCCUUCUGAUUCCCAGUGGCUACAUAGCAGGAUUGAAAUCCAUGGUUAUGAGGAGUACAGUAGGACUGAAUAUAGGUCUGCUGGCUGCACAGAAGAGUACAAGAUCGUGAGGGGGCAUCUGGAGCAAUCAUGCGUGGAGGAAUCCAAAGUUUUCCUGGAAGGAGAUAUUGGGGGUGGACUGGUUCUUCAGCGCCACAUAUCUAUUCUGACGGACAAUCCCAAGAUUGUCCAGAUUGACUCUAGCAUUGAAGCAAGAAGUGUUGGGCCUGGCUCUGGUGGAUUCUCAAGGUUGGUCUGUUUGCGAGUCCGUCCCACCUUUACGCUUCUACACCCAACUGAGGUAGUUGUUGCUUUCACGGCCAUCAAUGGUUCAAAACAAGAGAUCUCUUUAGAUUCCGGAGAAGUGACACUGGAGGGAGGCCUCCGACCGAACGGGGAGUGGACGCUGGUGGACAAGUGUUCAGGGCUGAGCAUGGUAAACCGUUUCGAUCACCGUCAGGUUAGCAAAUGUUUGGUGCAUUGGGGAACUAGUGAUCUGAACAUGGAGCUCUGGUCUGAUGAGAGGCCAGUUUCGAAAGACACGCCGUUGAGGAUCUGCCACCGGUAUGAGGUGACACAAACAUGA